AGCACCGGCUAACUCCGUGCCAGCAGCCGCGGUAAUACGGAGGGUGCAAGCGUUGUCCGGAAUCAUUGGGCGUAAAGAGUUCGUAGGUGGCAUGUAAAGUCUGGUGUUAAAGGCAGAAGCUCAACUUCUGUAGGGCACUGGAUACUUGCAAGCUGGAAUGCGGUAGAGGUAAAGGGAAUUCCUGGUGUAGCGGUGAAAUGCGUAGAUAUCAGGAGGAACAUCGGUGGCGUAAGCGCUUUACUGGGCCGUAAUUGACACUGAGGAACGAAAGCCGGGGUAGCAAAUGGGAUUAGAUACCCCAGUAGUCCCGGCCGUAAACGAUGGAUACUAGGUGUUGCGGGUAUCGACCCCUGCAGUGCCGCAGCUAACGCGUUAAGUAUCCCGCCUGGGGAGUACGCACGCAAGUGUGAAACUCAAAGGAAUUGACGGGGACCCGCACAAGCGGUGGAACAUGUGGUUUAAUUCGAAGCAACGCGAAGAACCUUACCAGGGCUUGACAUCUAACAAAUCUCUAUGAAAGUAGAGAGUGCUCUUCGGAGAAUGUUAAGACAGGUGGUGCACGGUUGUCGUCAGCUCGUGUCGUGAGAUGUUGGGUUAAGUCCCGCAACGAGCGCAACCCUCGUCGUUAGUUGGAUGUAUCGGUAUACUUAUACAUUCCUCUCUAGCGAGACUGCCGGUGAUAAACCGGAGGAAGGUGGGGACGACGUCAAAUCAUCAUGCCCCUUAUGCUCUGGGCUACACACGUGUUACAAUGGCCAGGACAACGAGCCGCCAACUCGCGAGAGUGAGCAAAUCUCUAAAACCUGGUCUCAGUUCGGAUUGCACUCUGCAACUCGAGUGCAUGAAGUCGGAAUCGCUAGUAAACGCAGAUCAGCACGCUGCGUUGAAUACGUUCCCGGGUCUUGUACACACCGCCCGUCACACCAUGGAAGUCGACCACGCCCGAAGUACGUGAGCUAACCAUUUGGAAGCAGCGUCCUAAGGCAGGGUUGGUGACUGGGGUGAAGUCGUAACAAGGUAGCCGUACCGGAAGGUGUGGCUG
rnacentral:rRNA from 1 species